UGUGGGAGCGGGCUUGCCCGCGAUGGCGGUGUAUCAGAUACAUUGCCAUCGCGGGCAAGCCCGCUCCCACA
rnacentral:misc_RNA from 1 species